rnacentral:lncRNA from 1 species
UUCAUAGGGACCACAAUGGCACAUAAAACUGUGUCCUGGGUGCCCAUUUAAGCCCUUCUGGUAUCAUUUUCCUGAAUUCUUCAGAAAAUAUGCCUUCUAUAUAUAUUAGCUAACAUUUCCUGAGCAUCUACAAUAAGCCUUUUCCAUAUAUCACUGCAUUGAAUCCUUACAACUCUAAGCUUUCUAAUUCAACCAGCUUUGGGGCAGCAAAACAUAAAUUUCCACUUCUGGAAUGGGAGACAUCUCCAGUGAAAGUUACCUUAAGGUCCAGAAGAAGCCAGGCAGAGAAAUCACAUGUCUCAGCUUUUCCACUGCAAAAUUUCUAUUUUAUACUUGAAGAAUAUGAUUCUAAUCAAGUACAAGUUAAUCUGCACCUGAACAUCUUCAGGGUCUUGCUCUAUCACCCAGGCUGGAGUGCAGUGGCGCGAUCUCAGCUCACUGCAACUUCUGCCUCCAGGUUCAAGCGAUUCUCGUGCCUUGGCCUCCCAAGUAGCUGGGAUUACAGAUACGCACCACCACACCCAGCUAAUUUUUGUAUUUUUAGUAGAGAAGGGGUUUUGCCAUGUUGGCCAGGCUGGUUUCGAACUCCUGACCUCAAGUGAUCCACCCGCCUUGGCCUCCCAAAGUGCUGGGAUUACAGGCCUCGUGAGUCGCUGUGCCAGGCCUAAUUUUAAAUAUUCUGUGCAUCAGAUAUUUCACUAAACCAGACUGCCCCUCCUCCUACUCAUUCUCAUCUCAUCUCAUUAUUCCAAAUGUUAGAGGUUUGACUAUAUGUUACAAACACACACCUGCAAAUGGAGUCAAUGCCUGUGGACUAACAGAACCCAUAUUCAAAGCCUGAGAAUCAGCUAUGGGAAAGCCAUCUGAGAGACAAAUUAUACUUGAAGGACAGCAACUCUAUCCCUGAGUUAGCUAACGCUCAGCAGAAGUCUGGCCCACUGGGACCUAAGCAAUUUGAGAACCCCAGAAGCCACCAAGUGGAGAACCCCAGGCUUUAGAGAACCCCACAAGCCACCAUGUGGAGAAGCCCAGGCUAACCUGCUGGAUGAUGAGACUCACAAAGCCCAGGCAUCCCUGUAGCCCUUGCCAACCGUCAUGUAUGUGAGUGAGACUAUCCAUCUGACGGGAUGUUCAUGAGUGAGCUCAGAGGAGAAGAGAACCAUCACAUAGCUGAGCCCAGCUUAAAUUGCCAAACCACAAAAUGGUGAACUAAAUAAAUGCCUGUUGUUUUAAGCCACCAAGUUUUGGAGUGGUUUGUUGAGCAGCAAAAGCUGAUUCAAAAUCUAUUUAUCCCCCAAAUCGAAUGCAAGCCACCUAACAGCAUUAUAUAAAAGGCAAAAUUUCAAUUCUAAAGUAAACUGACAUAGAAUGGGUAUGGUGUUGAUGAGCUGAUUAGAAAAGGAAAGAGCACAAGUCAUAAAUCACCGUGUAGCUCAUUAAAAUGUAGUAUGAUAGAGAGCUGAGUUCUCUGUGCAAAAAAUUACCAAGAUAAGAAUCUCAGCUGGGUGUGAUGGCUCACGUCUGUAAUCCCAGCACUUUGGGAGGCCGAGGUGAGUGGAUCACAUGAGGUUAGGAGUUUGAGACCAGCCUGGCCAACAUGGUGAAACCCCAUCUCUACUAAGAUACAAAAAAUUAGCCGG